UACGUAGGGCGCAAGCGUUGUCCGGAAUUAUUGGGCGUAAAAGGGCUCGUAGGCGGUCCAUCGCGUCGGGAGUGAAAAAGCUGGGGCUUAACCCCAGUCCUGCUUCCGAAUACGGGUGGACUAGAAGGUAGGUAGGGGAGAUCGGAAUUCUGGUGUAGCGGUGAAAUGCGUAGAUAGUCGAGAGGAACACCUGCGGCGAAGGCGGGUAGCUGGGCCGACACUGACGCUGAUGCGCGAAACGUGGGGAGC
rnacentral:rRNA from 1 species